rnacentral:rRNA from 1 species
UACGGAGGGAGCUAGCGUUGUUCGGAAUUACUGGGCGUAAAGCGCACGUAGGCGGCUUUUUAAGUCAGGGGUGAAAUCCCGGGGCUCAACCCCGGAACUGCCCUUGAAACUGGAGAGCUAGAAUCUUGGAGAGGCGAGUGGAAUUCCGAGUGUAGAGGUGAAAUUCGUAGAUAUUCGGAAGAACACCAGUGGCGAAGGCGACUCGCUGGCUCGUAACUGACGCUCAUGCACGACAGCGUGGGGAUCAAACAGG